GACGAACGCUGGCGGCGUGCCUAAUACAUGCAAGUAGAACGCUGAAGGAGGAGCUUGCUUCUCUGGAUGAGUUGCGAACGGGUGAGUAACGCGUAGGUAACCUGCCUGGUAGCGGGGGAUAACUAUUGGAAACGAUAGCUAAUACCGCAUAAGAGUAGAUGUCGCAUGACAUUUGCUUAAAAGGUGCAAUUGCAUCACUACCAGAUGGACCUGCGUUGUAUUAGCUAGUUGGUGAGGUAACGGCUCACCAAGGCAACGAUACAUAGCCGACCUGAGAGGGGGAUCGGCCACACUGGGACUGAGACACGGCCCAGACUCCUACGGGAGGCAGCAGUAGGGAAUCUUCGGCAAUGGACGGAAGUCUGACCGAGCAACGCCGCGGGAGUGAAGAAGGUUUUCGGAUCGUAAAGCUCUGUUGUAAGAGAAGAACGAGUGUGAGAGUGGAAAGUUCACACUGUGACGGUAGCUUACCAGAAAGGGACGGCUAACUACGUG
rnacentral:rRNA from 1 species